UGGGGAAUAUUGCACAAUGGAGGGAACUCGGAUGCAGCGACGCCGCGUGAGUGAUGAAGGAAUUCGUUUCGUAAAACUCUGUUCUAUGGGAAGAAAAGGACUGUACAAUAGGAGAAAGCUCCGGCUAAAUACGUGCCAGCAGCCGCGGUAAUACGUAUGGAGCGAGCGUUGUCCGGAAUUAUUGGGCGUAAAGGGUGCGCAGGCGGCUUUACAAGUUGGAUGUGAAAUAUUGUGGCUCAACCACAAACGUGCAUCCAAAACUGCAAAGCUUGAGUUAAGGAGAGGUAAGUGGAAUUCCUGGUGUAGCAGUGGAAUGCGUAGAUAUCAGGAGGAAUACCGGUGGCGAAGGCGACUUACUGGACUUAAACUGACGCUCAGGCACGGAAGCGUGGGGAGCAAACAGG
rnacentral:rRNA from 1 species